UACGUAGGGUGCAAGCGUUGUCCGGAAUUAUUGGGCGUAAAGAGCUCGUAGGCGGUCUGUCGCGUCGGCUGUGAAAACUCGGGGCUCAACUCCGAGCUUGCAGUCGAUACGGGGCAGGCUAGAGUUCGGCAGGGGGAGACUGGAAUUCCUGGUGUAGGCGGUGAAAUGCGCAGAUAUCAGGAGGAACACCGGUGGCGAAGGCGGGUCUCUGGGCCGAUACUGACGUGAGGAGCGAAAAGCGUGGGGGAGCAACGGAUUAGAAAACCCCCAGUAG
rnacentral:rRNA from 1 species